AUACGUAGGGGGCGAGCGUUGUCCGGAAUGAUUGGGCGUAAAGGGCGCGUAGGCGGCCCGGUAAGUCUGGAGUGAAAGUCCUGUUUUUAAGAUGGGAAUUGCUUUGGAUACUGUCGGGCUUGAGUGCAGGAGAGGUAAGUGGAAUUCCCAGUGUAGCGGUGAAAUGCGUAGAGAUUGGGAGGAACACCAGUGGCGAAGGCGACUUACUGGGCUGUAACUGACGCUGAGGCGCGAAAGUGUGGGGAGCAAACAGGAUUAGAUACCCUGGUAGUCCACACUGUAAACGAUGAAUGCUAGGUGUAAGAGGUAUCGACCCCUUUUGUGCCGGAGUCAACACAAUAAGCAUUCCGCCUGGGGAGUACGGCCGCAAGGUUGAAACUCAAAGGAAUUGACGGGG
rnacentral:rRNA from 1 species